UACGUAGGCAGCGAGCGUUGUUCGGAGUUACUGGGCGUAAAGCGUGCGUAGGCGGUUUUCUAAGUUUGGUGUGAAAUCUCCCGGCUCAACUGGGAGGGUGCGCCGAAGACUGGGAGGCUGGAGUGUGGGAGAGGUAGGCGGAAUUCCUGGUGUAGCGGUGAAAUGCGUAGAUAUCAGGAGGAACACCUGUGGUGUAGACGGCUUACUGGACCACUACUGACGCUGAGGCACGAAAGCGUGGGGAGCAAACAGG
rnacentral:rRNA from 1 species